rnacentral:lncRNA from 1 species
CUUACUGUCUGAUCGACGAAAUUAAAGUGACGAGUCUAUACGUUAGGACCAGGUGGGCAUCAUGUGGGCCAGUAGCCUGGGAGAGUUGCUCCGGAUACCACAGCCACAGAGGCGGACCCAGUCUCCCAAUCAGUCCCGAGGCUGUUUGCAGUUACCGGCAUGCGCUGCAGAGAGCGAGCCCCGCAGGUGGCACUGGACUCCUGGAGCUUGAGUCUUUGACUUGCAGGUUGGAGUUGGCAUCCACCUAAGUCCAGGGGAAGGGGAAUCCUCGUCCACCUUUCUCUUCCCUUGCCAGAGCAGGGCACGUCCCCUCUGCAGGCAGCACACAGGAUCUGUAGGAAAUCAUGUUGUGUUCAAGCUGUUUUUCUGUAGUACUUGUUCUUUUUAGAUGAGUCUUGGCCACUUCAGUGAUGACUUGGAAGGCUGUUUGGUGGGGAGAUCUUGAUUUUAUGAGGAUCUUGCAUUUUUCUAGAGAAUUUUAUAGUCGUGUGUUUUUAUGCCAUGGUCUCCAUUAGGGGACACAGCAAAACUGGCUUUGGAUCAGAAACCAUCAUUUCUAAAUGUUUAAAAAGAAGAAAAGUUCCUACUGGUGAUGCCUGUCUGACUAGUUUGGUAAUAAGUAAGAAGCAAUGAAGUUCUGAAGCUUUUCUCUUGAUGACCAUGAUCACUGAAAAUGGAAGGAAUCCAGAUUAUCUCAGUGUUUGGUGUGAUCGACAACACCAGUGUUUUGCGUCUGUGAUGUUUGUGUUGUGUGUAAGGAUGAAUUGUCUCCUGGAUAAGGGGAGAAGGGGGAGCACCAAGCUAAAAUUUUGUUUGCCAAAUCAGAUUCUUUGGUCAAUAAUGGUUUAUGAGCUGGGCACAGUGGCACAUACCGAUGGUCCCAGCUACUGGGGAAGCUGAAGCAGGAGAAUCCCCUAAUCCCAAAGUUUAAGGCCAUCCUGGGCAACAAGGUGAGACCCUGCCUCAAAAAAAGAGAAAAAGAAGUUUGGGUUUGGGUAGAAUCAUAUCAGGAAAAUUAUAGGACCCCAGGUGGCAGGGUUCCAGUUGUGGCCUUAGUCUUCUGGCAUCAUGAAGGGACCAUUCCCUCAUGGAGGGGGCCACUGGCUUGGCUUCUGGGUCUUUGGUGAUAUCUGCCCUUGUUUCUUCAGCACUGUCCUCAACUUCUAGCUACACGUGGGGACAGUGAAUCAUAGAUAGGACACCAGUUCGCCCUUUAUCUCCUGUUGAAUGCAGUGGUUCCCCAUUCCGAGAGGAAGUAACACUGUUUCUGCUGCACUCGGGGUUUGGUUUUGUUUUGUUUUCUGCUUUUGAUAAUUGCAAUUUUGUAUUGAAGGGUUUGGUUUUCAUCUGCUUAUGAAUGGGCCACUUUGCUCCUUGCCGAAGUUACUCAUCAGAAGCCUCAGGAGAAUCCCCGUUUGUCCGUCUGUUGUUCAUUGCUUAAUAGUAUUUUGAUCCCAGGUUUUGAGACAAUUGCUGGGUAAAAUAGGAAGACACAAUCCUGACGGUGUUAUUUAUGAAAAGAUCUUGCUGAGUGCCUUCACCAGAAGCUGUGGAUCUGCGGUUGAAUUGUUCUCACUGGUGAAUGCAGUUUUGCAUUGCAAAGGUGUAUGGUGGUAGUUUAUGAUUAUAGUUAAGUGAUUCCUCAAACAUAUCAUUGAACUCCAAAAUGAAUUAUGCCUCUCUUUGGGUUUAAUGAAAUUUCUGAUGUUACUGAAAUUUGCCUAUUAACAUGUUUUCCUUUUCCAAAGCAAGACAUGCUGGUGAGAGGAAAUGACUGUCUAGUUUUAUUAUGGUUUAUAAAUUAAUAAAUGGGAUAUUUAAUUCUGUACAUUAACGUACAGCAAGUCCAUACACUGGAAUGAAUGCGACAAUCAUGUUAGAGCAACUUGUCAGGUUAAAAGUCAACGCUUUCAAGUCUUGAAGGUUCCAGCUUGACACUGGGUCUUUUUGAGGCCUGUGCCCUGGCCUGCUGCCCCCUCCUCCUCGUGUGGGCAGCUCUGCUCUCGUCACCCUCAUUGAUGGGGUUGUAGUGCCUCACGCCUCUGUGACGUGGUCUGGCCGAUGACAGUAACUCCUACCCAACUCCUUCAUUUUACAGAAGGAGAAACAGGCUUAGAGGGCAUUUUUGAGUAGUGUUUGUUCACUGUUGUGACUUGGUAUGAAAUUUUUAUGCACCUUAUUUUAAGUCAUUCGUUUUGGGGAAAACCAGACCCUUAUGACAAAGGAGAUAAGCCAAAUAACAUUCGAAUGAGGAAGGACUUAAGUUUUUGAAUUUUGCUGUGUAUCUAGUCUACACCAUGUAUCAGACCCUUUAUUACCUCUGGAACAUAACCAGACCUGAAUACCUUAAGGUCUUACAGCCUUAAGAAUCCAGAACAUUAAUUUAUUAAAAGACCUGAAAAUUCCUAGUAUUUUUUUUUUUAAAUUAUCACCUGUUUGCAAGACUUCGAUGCUAUCGACUGUUCUGUGGGAAUAAUUGUAUAUUCAUGAUGGCAUUUACCAAAAAUAAAUGAUGGUCUCCAGGGAAUUGAGAUUGGUCCCAGUUUGUGAGUGAGGGUCUCAGAUUUGAGUGACCCUGUGUUCAGCAUGCCCAGCAACAAAAUGUACAAGAGAUCCACAACUGAGGUGGCUUUGGUCCUCCCGUCUCGAUGUAUUCACCUAUUUUUCCCCCUCUGGGCCAGAAACUAGGAUGUGAUUUGUGGGUUUUCAAGGAGGUAGGAGAGACUCGGGAAAUCCAGGCCCAUUGUGGUGGCUGUGCUAUAGCUCAUACUGAGGUCCUACUAUGUGCCCGAUGCAGUGGUGGGCUUUUUGCACAGUCCUGGUGUGUUUUGUGGACCUGGAGGCAUUGUAAGCACACUGAGCCACACCCUCGGCCCUGUUGUUUCAUUAAUCUUGUUCUAUAGAUGAAAAUGAGGCCCCAAGAGGCCGGGUCACUUGUCUGGGGCCAUAUAGCUGCCUGUCUGACUCCAAAGCCCGUUUUCCCAUGUUGCUCAAACCACCCCUGCCAGAGACUGUCCUCCGAGCCCAGCUGAGGAAGACAUGAGCAUGCCACAGUGGCGUGCAGCGUCUCAGUGCAUGACCGCCUUGUUCAAUGAUUUACUAAGCACUUAAUGUGUGCCAAGUAACAGGAACUGAUACGUGUAAGGCUGCCACCCAGAAAGCUCCCGCCUUCAUCUGCAGAUGUGUAACUAGAGAGCACAAGAAGCGGUGUCAGAGGGACGCAAAAAAUGCCAAAGAGUGCAGGGUGGUCAUUUCGGCAGCACGAUGGGGAAUUGGAGUGUUUUAUUUGACUUGUGUUUACAAUCAUUUUAUUAGAUGCCAGGAGAGCGAGAUUACACCAAUCAUACAAAGUGGAAAAUGGAAAUAGUUGUUCAGCCCACAGGACAACCUGGGCCCCAGGGGGGGAGACCUGUCCCAAACCUAGGGCCUUUUGCCCUGCACCGCUGCCAUGGGAGAGCCUUUUGAUUUUCCUCAGUUUUAUCACACAAGAGUUUGUGCCAUCAAAGGAGUAGCCUUUCAUGUCACCUGACAGGACUUUGCUGCUGGUUAGACCCUCCAGCCCAUAGAAGGACAACCCGAAUGGCUUUGCAGUUUAUUGCUGUGAUUGUAACAGGUUUCCGAGUCCUUGCAUCAGGACUGGGUCACUGCUGUACAAAUCUAGGCCUGGUGUGCAGGGUCAGGAUUAAAAGUGGCCCUGUGAAGACCCAGCCAAACAGUAGAGUCCAAACUCCCAUGUGGGAAUGCCUUCUCCCAGAGUCUCAUUUACCUCCUUAAGGCAGAAGUUUGCUGGUGAUGUGGACACAAUCAGGUCCGGGCCAAUGUCCCCUAGAACCAGCCUCUCUUCCCUGGGCAGGGCAGGACCUAAACCAUUCCUCCUGUUGCAGCUUUCAGCUAGCUGACCAUAUGUGGCUCAGUAACUGCAGAAUGCAAGGUCACAGUCACACCAAACUUUUGCGUGACUGAGCCCACCAGUAUGGAUGGGCCUGUAUGUUCUCAGUCACCCACUACAUAUUCCAUAACUUAUAGCUUAAAUAUAUUUUUUAAGUUUAAAAAUCUGUCAAAGCAAAAAUAAAUUACCUAUAUGCAGGCAUUUAAAUGAAGGAGGUAGCUGGGCACACUGGCUCACACCUGUAAUCUCAAUGACUCUGGAGGCUAAGGCAGGAGUCCAAACCACAAGUUUGAGGCCAGUCUGGACAUUUAUGGCUGAGAGGCAGAGUGCCCCUUGGUUCAAUCCCUAGCACCACAAAUAAAUAAAUAAAUAAAUAAUAAAGAGGUACAUCCUGUACAGAGGGAAUAAUUAUUCCUAAAUAUACCAGUGAGUAAAAUACAUGAAGGCUGGGACUGUAGCUCAGUAGUAGAGCACUUGCCUAGCAUUUGUGAGGUCCUGGGUUUGAUCCUCAGCACAUAAAAAAUAAAUAGAAUAAAGGUAUUGUAGAAAAAAAUUAUUAAGGAAAAUAUACAAAUGUGCUUUGUUAAUACACAGUUUCUCUCUGAAGAGAUCCACAAGAGAUUAGAUUAUAGCAGUUAGCUCUGUGGUGGAUAAUUACAGAUGGUUUUUUUUUUUUCUCAAAACUAUGCAAAUUACUUUGUAAUGGCCUUAGAAAAAGAAUAUGCCAAAAAUAUUUUCUUGUGUUAUCAAAUAUUCUCCCUUGAUUUUGUGUCUGUGUACAUGAUACCAUAAUUAGAAGGACGUGCUACAAUUAACCAAUCCCUAGGGCUGAAUGUUUAAAAUUUUGCCAUUUUAUGGAAUAAGUUUGCAGUGAACAGUGUAGCACAUCCUUCUAAUUUAGGAUAAAUUCUCAAGACUUGUUUGCAUAUGGUUUUAAACUUGUUUCCAUUUUGCUUCUCAGUGUUCUUAGUCCGUUUUCUAUUGCUGUAACAAAAUACCUGACACAGAAUAAUUUUUACACAGAAUAGUUUAUUUGGCUAACAGUUUUGGAGUGGGAAGUCCAAGAACAUGAAGCUGAAGUCUGCUGAGAACUCUCUUGCUGCAUCAUCCGAUGGUAAAGGGCAUCGCAUGACAACAUUGAGCAAGUGUGCAUCAGCUCAGAUCUCUCAUAAAGCCCACCAAAAGGGCCCCUCCCUCAACUCAUCUAACCCUAAUUAGGUCCCAAAGGUCUCACUUCCAAAUACCAUCAACCCAGACAUGGGGAUCAUCUCAGGGGUAUACAUUUCACAAAAAUCGUUUUACUUAAAGAGUCUUGCUAGAGCCGGUGGUACACACUUGUAAUCCCAGCAACUCAGGAAGCGGAAGCAGGAGAAUUGCAAGUUUGAGGCCAGCCUGAGUAACUUAGCAAGACCCUUACAAUAAAAAGACUGGGAAAGCUCAAUAAUAAGAUGUCCCUGGAUUAAAAAAAAAAAAAAAAGUCUUUCAGUUUCUAGGAGAUAUUAUUGGAGAAUAUCUCUGCAGCAGUCUGAACUAUUUAUACUGUUUCUUCUAACCAGUGGAUUCUGGUUUGGCCUUUUCAAAGGCGCUUGGGAGAGACCCCUGCGGUGCUCAUUUUUUCAGUCUCAGAUAAAUGGUAUUUUAAUCUGAAAUGAUCAUAUGAAAGCAGGUGCACAGGUCUUUCCAGACAGCAGGUGAGCAGUGUCAGUACUGCACUGCAGGGUCCUUCACUCAGCACAGCAUCAAUGAGCAUUGACAUUUUGUAAUAGUAUACUGAAGCCAGGCGAGGUGGCGCAUGCCUGUCAUCCCAGUAGCUCCGCUCGUGAGGCUGAGGCUGAGGCAGGAGGAUCGUGAGUUCAAAGCUAGCCUCAGCAACAGCGAGGUGCUAAGCAACUGAGUGAGACCCUGACUCUAAAAAAAAUACAAAAUAGGACCAGGGAUAUGGCUCAGUGGUACUGUGACCCUGAGUUCAAUCCCUGGUACCAAAAAAAAAAAAAGUAGCCUGAAAGUGGAACUAACCAAAGACUCCUUAAUACACAUUCACUAACCUUUUUUUUUUUUUUUUUUUUUGAUACCAGGGAUUAAAGCUAGGACACCUAAACCACUGAGCCACACCCCCAGCCCUUUUUUAAUUUUGAAACAGGGUCUUUCUAAGUGCUGAGACUGGCUCCUCCUGCCUCAGCAUCCCAAGCCACUGGGAUUACAGACAUGCACCACCAUGCCUGGCUCAUUAACCUUUCUUCCCCACUCCCAUCUAUUUAUUUAUUUAUUCAUGUAGGGAAUUGAACCUAGGGCCCCUCAUCUGCGAGCCAAGCACUGUAUCACUAAGCUACAUCCCCAGUCCUUUUCAUCUUAUUUUUAGACAGGAUCUUGCUAAAAUGCCCAGGCUAGCCUUGAACUUAAAAUCCUCCUGCCUCAGCCUCCCAAGUAGCUGGCAUUACAGGCAAUGCAUCACCAUGCCCAGCUUUAAAGAUUCUUAACUGGCUCUCCUGAGAUAUUGGGGUUGGAGGGCCCAUGAUGGGGCAAGCAUGUAGGCCUAUAGUCCCAACUACUGGGAGGCUGAGGCAGGAGGAGAGCUUGAGCUCAAAGAUUCCUAGACUAAGGCUGGGGUUGUGGCUCAGUGGUAGAACGCUUGCCUUGCACAUGUGGGGCACUGGGUUCAAUCCUCACCACAUACAAAUAAAUAAAUAAAGGUAUUGUGUCCAUCUACAACUAAAAAUUUUUUUAAAAAAAUUAUACACUAGCUUGGAUAAUAGAGACCCCAUCUCAAAAAAUCAAAUGAACAAGACCCUGAUAAAUGUUGUAUAUCUUCAGCCUACAAAAAUACAUACAUAUAUAGUAUUUUAUCAACUCUAUUAGUUCAUGGUUCUCUGAAGUCCAUCCAUAUGGAUUUUUUUUUUUUAGGGAGAGAAUUUUUUAAUACUUAUUUUUUAGUUUUCGGUGGACACAACAUCUUUAUUUUUAUGUGGUGCUGAGGAUCGAAUCCAGCGCCCCGCACAUGCCAGGCGAGUGCGCUACUGCUUGAACCACAUCCCCAGCCCUAGAUCUCUUAAUAUAGAUCCUGACUGGCAAGAUCCAGACUACCAAUCCUUACAUAAACGUAAAAUCCCAUGCCUACCCUUCCGCCUGAAACAGUCACAAAGCUGGCUCAUUGUACAGUUCUCAGUGCAAAACCUCACUUCAGAAGAGCAGUUCAUGGUAAUCCUACUGAAACAGAGACCCUUUGAACUUAAAGGCUGAAUUGUUUUAGCUCCCUAACUUCCUCAUGCUGAGAAUGGAAACUUUACCCCACGUCCCUGGCAGUGGUCAAGAAAGCUGAAAAUGAAAUGUCCUCUAGUUAGUAUAGCCUAGCAAAUAAAUAAAUUAUACACACCCACACACAUACAUAUGUAUCCAUGUGUGUGUGUGUAUAUAUAUAUAUCCUGACUUCUGUUCCUACAAAUUGUAACUGCUUCCCUAAGACCAAGGGCAGUUUGAUCAAACUAUUAAAUUCUUUUUUCUUUAUACUGUUUGCUUAUUUCUUAUACAGGAGGACAGCAGAAUCCAGCCAGCCAGGAUACAAACAGGCUCUGUAGCUUGCAGGGUAGACUCCACUCUCCCACGUUCUGGUUAGAGCACCUUGUCUUCUCCCUAAUAUUACAUAAUAUAUUCAUUUAUUGAUUUAUGCUCUUCCCCCAUGGACUCCCUUAGAGCAGAGCUGAGGUCUGACUUGUUCCAGCUGUUAUCUAUAAGCCACUCUAUCCAGUCACCAGUUUUUGAGAGCCAACAAUGGUGAACAUUUGCACUGACAGGAAAAACAAACCUGGAACCCAAAUUAAACAAAAUGUUAUCCCCAGAAAAGAACUCCACUAUUCUCAUGAGUAUACGCUUACUUUUAAAAAAUUACACUCAAUUAUCGUUUGAAUUUCAUAAAUAAAAUUUUUCUAGAUAUUUCUCUCUGGUUAUAUAAGUAUCUAAAUAAGAUCCUUCACCAUCCCUCUCAGCCCGCAGAGCCUAAAAUAUUUGCUUUCUGGGCAUUAAAAAGUUUGCGGACCCCUGCCCUAGAGCAAUACUUGACAUACAACAGGCAAUCCGUUGGAGAGUUUUGCAACAGCAACAAAAAGAACCUAAAAUACGUAUGUAUCCACUUGUAUAGAAAAACCACGGAGGUAUAGCUGGCCAUGCGUUAACAAAAUGGGAACAUUAAAAGGGUCAGGGUUAAAGAAGAUAGCCACACAAUCGAUGUUCGCUAUUGAUUGCUACUUCAGGUUAUCUUGCCCCACAAUUUUCACGUUGCCUUCAUAAUCAUUUCAGAAGCGACGAAAGUGCACCUUUUAAGAACCCACUGGGCUCGCAGUCUGCGGCCGGUGUUGAGGGGAGAAGGGUUACCCCAGCCAAAGUCUUCCUUACCAAAGCGAAGAGUCGAGAGGAGGACACCUAAAUAAAGCCUGCUGCAAUCUCCGCCAGGAGAAUGUGAGGGCGCCGAGCCCCGCAGCCUCCGGACGCACACCUCGUAGUCUCAACGAGCCUGCGAGGAGGAAACAGAGGCCCUGUCCCGAGUAGAAACUCCCUAGACUCUUGAUCCCGCGGAAACAGCGACCAGCCAGCACCUCUAUCCGCGACACAGUGCUGCACGGACGCCCAGGUCCCGCGCGCCGCUCACCUACUGCCCUGAAACGCGCGCCA